UCGUCAAAGUGGUGGUGAUGUGUUGAAGUUGACCAUAUCACAGCCAGCUUUGAUGAGC
rnacentral:pre_miRNA from 1 species